GUCAGAACACAGGACUACUCAGAGAAGACUAGGUCAGAACACAGGACUACUCAGAGGAGACUAGGUCAGAACACAGGACUACUCAGAGCAGACUAGGUCAGAACACAGGACUACUCAGAGAAGACUAGGUCAGAACACAGGACUACUCAGAGGAGACUAGGUCAGAACACAGGACUACUCAGAGAAGACUAGGUCAGAACACAGGACUACUCAGAGAAGACUAGGUCAGAACACAGGACUACUCAGAGGAGACUAGGUCAGAACACAGGACUACUCAGAGAAGACUAGGUCAGAACACAGGACUACUCAGAGAUGAG
rnacentral:lncRNA from 1 species